UACGUAGGCAGCGAGCGUUGUUCGGAGUUACUGGGCGUAAAGGGUGUGUAGGCGGUUGUUUAAGUUUGGUGUGAAAUCUCCCGGCUCAACUGGGGAACUGCGUCUGAUACUGGAUGGCUUGAGGUUGGGAGAGGGAUGCGGAAUUCCAGGUGUAGCGGUGAAAUGCGUAGAUAUCGUAAGGAAGACCAGUGGCGAAGGCGGGUCUCUGGACAGUUCCUGACGCUGAGGCACGAAGGUCAGGGGAGCAAACGGG
rnacentral:rRNA from 1 species